GGAUCCUCCCGGACCAGGGCACGAACCCGCGUCCCCCGCAUCGUCAGACGGACUCUCAACCACUGCGCCACCAGGGAAGCCCUAAAGCUCCAUCUUAAAGUCUUCUCAGAGAACCCAACCUGUGACACCUGAUUGUCUCUGGAAACUGGGAAAUUGGACCAGAAGGCCCUGAGCCUCCCCGCCUCUGAAGCUUCUGCAGUGAUGAGGCCUGGCCACCAGAUGGCAGCACACAGACCACUGCGCUCUCAGGGAAGAGGAGGACUGCUGUGAGACUUCAACAAGUCAACCCACGUGAAGCACUUUGAGAAGCGUCCGCACGCAGGAGGCGCACGUCAACACGAGCUGCUUGCUUUCUGGCUCCACAGAGAAGGGGUAGGCUGACGUAUGUCCCCUCCCUGCCCUCACCAAAGUCUUCCAUCCCACAGUUUUCUGAGCUGGCAGAACACAGCAAUAUGACAGCUUCAACUGUGGGUGCCCUCCGCUGAGGGACUGGAGACUGUCCUCUUUCAAUCGCCUUCUCUCUGGAUGUGCCCUCCUCCGGGGACCUGGAUGUUUUCCUUUGCUGUGUCACCUGGGAUAAUCACUUACCCUCUCUGGAGAAAGAGGAGUUGGACUUCAGGACGGUUACAGCCCCAUCCAGUGCCAGUGCGGAGGGCUCUGGGAUGGACCCCAGAGAAGAGUGGGGUGGUGGCGCAGAUGGGAAGGUGGUGGGGCAGAUGGGAAGUUGGUGGGUGUUAUGGGCUGAAUUGUGUCCCCUCCGCCCCCUUUCAUAUGUUGAAGUCCUAACACCUAGUGCUUCUGAAUGAGACUGUAUUUGGGGAGAGGUUCUCUAAAGAGGUAACUGGGUUAAAAGGAGGUCAUUAGGGUGAGCCCUAAUCCAAUAUGACUGGUGUCCUUAUGAGAAGAGAUUCGGUAGCACAGACACACAUUGAAGGCCACAAGAAAACAGAGGGAGAAGACAGCCACCUACAAGGCAAGGAGGGAGGUCUCAGAAGAAAUCAACCCUGUUGACACCUUGAUCUUGGACUUCUAGCCUCCAGAGCUGUGAGAGGCUUAAACAAGUUUUUGUUGUUUAAGCCACCCAGUCUUUCGUUCUUUAUUAUGGUAGUUCUAGCAAACGAAUAGGUUAGAGGUUGUCUGUCUGGCCCCAUAAGGACUGUCUUUGAUUCACCAGGCUGCCAGGACCCAUACAGGGCAAGGACCUGCGAGCUUUGUUGCUUCCCAAAGAGGAGAGAGUACUUCAUUGUUGGGCCAGUGGGCCCUGGGAUCUCUGCAAUGAUUAAAAAAUAGCCCUACUGUGUGGCCAGCCCUGGCCAUUCCUGUCUCCCUUAGUCUAUGUCAUCAGGGUAUGUAUUCUUAGUCACACUGUCCAAAAGGAGAAACAGAGGCUCAGAAAGUCACCUGCCCAAGGAUUCCCGUCUUGGUCUGGCUGGCCAACAAUCCCAUGUUCUUUCCUGCAUACCCUAGCACUUCUCCAAGAAGGCCUCCCACAGUGCUCUCGGUGGGCCUGUGCCCCUGUCACUGUGUGGCAGCUGGGACCCCAGCAUUCCUGCACCCUGGGGACAAGGGAGAGCUGGGAAGGUCCCAGGCUCCAGGCAGGAAUUCCCUCCCCCAGCUUUGCUCAGUCUUUUUCUGUUGUUUCUUUGCUCAGCCGGGCCCUGUUAUCUUCCUCUGAGUCUGACGCCUAGUUCUUCCUGUUUAAAAUUCAGACCCUGGACUUUUCCUUUGGGGGUGGUUGUGUGUUUGUUCUGUGUUUUGGAUUCUCCCCCGGCCCCUAUCUCUGGCACUUUAGGUCACCAACCCCGUUUUCUGUAUCCCAGGGUCCCAGUGAGUGAGGGUCUUCUACCCAGUGCCCUGUCUGGGGGCAUUUGGGUGGCAGGGGAGGAGGGAGGAACCUGUCACUUUUUCCCCAUCUGUAAUAUGCAGGGUCCGACAGCCCGGCCUUGCUGCCCUCUUCUCACCCACGGCCCCUCCUGUACCCCAAACCACACUGAGGGUCUCUGGGCUCCCUGCAACGUUCUGCUUUGAGUCCAGUGCACUCCAGGAAGGAGAUUCAGCCAUAGAACAAGAAAAAAACGUACAGAUGUGAGGUGCCCUGAUGAGCUCUACUCCUGAGAGUGGAGACAGGGCCCUGGGGAACAUGGCCCGUGCUAGCUGUGUGGGAUGGAGCACCGAACCGGGAGUCAGGAGCCCUGGGCUCCUACCCUUGCUUUCCACCUCAUGCUGUGUGAGCUUGGGCACUCAAGUUCCUCUCUGGACCUCAGCUUUGUCACAGGAAGGUGGCUGAUGACUUGAGUCAGCUGCCCCUCAGGGUCUUCCAGCCUGAUGAGCUGUGAUUUUAGGGCUUCAUGAGAUGCUCCUAGGGACUCCACGUGGCGUGACUGUGGGAAGACAUGGGGCACAGAGAGCAGUCGGGGGUGAGGUGUGCAUGGCCUCCAAGGAGCAGACCCAGCACCACCUCCCCCAGGCAGCCUCCCUUCUCUAAGGCUCUCCAGUACUUCCUGCCCCCACCAGAAACCUUGGGAAGGCUUCAGGCUUAGAGUGAGACUGCGGGAAGGUUCAUAACCUCCCUGAGCCUCAGUGUGCCCCUCCAUCAAAUGGAGAUGAUGUCUGUCUUCUAGGGCUGCUGAUGGCUCCCAGCACACAGGAGAUGCUGUGUGAAUGAUGGGUCUGAGGAGAAUGUAGGCGAGGAACUAUGAGUUCCUAGAGGGGAGGCGUCAAGUCUGACCCGUCCUUGGGUCCCCCUGGCCCAGGGACCACUGAUUGAGAAAGGGGGUGCCUCAGGGUACAUGGUGUCAGGCACCUCUCGAGCCCAACCUCACAUCCCCUCGGCUUACCUCUGUAUUCCAGCUCCUGCCAGGGAAACUAGCUCUGCACAGGUGUCAAGUGACGGCCCCUUGCCUUGCAGCCCACUGAGCGCUUGCCUUUGUCCCCAGGUGAUGAGAAUAAAUGGAUAAUAUUCUCCUUCCAACCUGAGCUACCUUCUUCCCUCUGAGGGCCCCAGCAGGGUAGAGCCCAGUUGCCAAAAACUUGACUAGCUUGUUAAUGCCCCUUAGGUUGACUCUCCUUCCUCCCCUCUUUCACUCAUCCCAGUGCCUCAUUUCUGACUUUGGGAGGCAUCUGAGAGAGGUCAGAGGCCUUGAGGAAGGUCCCCAGGGAUCUAGGUUGGUGGGUGUGUGAGCUGCAGCCGGCAUAGCCUCGGGCUGAAACUUCACACUGAACCCAGCCCGAGACCAGUCCUGCCCAGAGCCUCCGGCCAGGCGAGCUUGGGUGCGCUGCCCUGCCUUGUGGAUGGAGCAGCUGGAUGUAAGUGGCAGAGGGGGGCGCCGUGCCCCUACCUGCAGAUUCCCAGUCCAUCCAUGUGUCAUUCAUCCCCCUGGGUCCCUGAGGAAGGGCCAGAGCCAGGCCAGGCUGCACUCCUUUUCUCCUACUGUUGGCAGGUUUUAGGAUAUCUUUUUUGGUUACUGAUUUUAGAAAAAAAGGCUAGCUAUUCUUCUCCACCUCUCAGCCCUUCCCCUUUGAACCGUCAGGGAAGGCUGCCUAGCUCAGGGGCAGGGGCCUCCACCUCUCAGCCCUGGAGCCCGGGGACAAGGGGACAGCAGGCUCCCUAGAGGACCUUGUAGAGGCCCAGCUGUUAGGAGCAUGGACUUGUUACUUAACCUCCCUAGGUUUCAGUUUCCUCAUCGGUAAAGGAGGAAUGAUAACCCAGUCAACCUCAGAGGGCCCUGCGAAGAUGCUCAGAUAACAGAGAAAAUGCCUGGUACUUCGUGAGCUGGGUCUAUUGGAUUUCUGUGUUCUGAGUGGUUCCCUCCCUCCUCAGAAAACAGCAUCAGGUUUUGGCAGACUUGGGUGAGGAAUGGGGUGGAAGAGGCCUGGAGCUCAGAGCCAGAGAACCAGAUCCCAGCCUGGCUUUCCACUGACUGGCUGUGGGACUUUGGCCCCUGUCAGAGGCUUCAAGAUACCACUUGUGCAUGGGGAUAAUUGUGGGGAGGCUCCAGUGGGACGGAAGGGCCAGUGUGCUGGGGCCUCUCCCCACCCCAGCCAGCUUGGACACUAGGACAGGCAGGCACAGUGAUCACCGGGCAGCCGGCUCCCAGCAUCCUGCCGCCAGCUCCCCAGGCCCCCUGUCUGCACGUCCUGCCCUGCCCAGCCCGCCAGGGUGGCUGAGGGUUUGGAGCCGAUGGAAUCAGCGUGCCCUUCCCUCCUUUGUCUGCUGGUGCUUCCUUCCCUUCACAGCAUGCUUUCUUUUUUCUGGUUUAUCAGGCCCUGGGGAAAGCUGGGGCCAGCCAGGCUCCCAGCCGAGCACCCCCUGGGAAGCCGCCAGCCGGGAGCACAGCAGACGGCUCCGUCUCUGGGGCCGGCAGCUCAGCCAUCCCCUCCCUCCGCCUGACCCCAGCAGCUCCCACCUGGUGGAUAGGACCUCUCCCAGCAUGCAGGAGGCCACCCAGUGUCCCUGGCUUCCAAAGCCUCCCUUUCAGAGGCUUGAAGCCUCAGGGGUGCUUAGGAUACACUGAGGCCCCCCUCCUUACUUUAGAAGGAGGAAACUGAGGCCCAGAAGCAGGAAGUGCCUGGAGGGUCUGACUCUCAGCUUAGGGCUCUGACCAGCAAGCAGCUGCCUGUC